rnacentral:rRNA from 1 species
UUAGACACAAGACCACCCUGCAGCCCAAGAGCGGUUACUCACUCAAGCUAAGCAGGGCUGAGCCUGGUUAGUACCUGGAUGGGAGACCACUAGGUUGCUGUUGGAAGUGGUGUUAG